rnacentral:lncRNA from 10 species
GCUCAGAGAUAAGAACCUGUGGGAGGAGGACUGCCUUACGGGAGAGCUCUGUUGGCCGGAUGCCCUCCAGGUCCCACACAUCACGCCAUGAAGAUGGCUGCCUCCUCCUGGGGAGGAUGGAGUUGAGGAGGAGGAGGAGGAAGGCGGCGUCUGGGAUACCUCCUAUGGAUGGAGGUCUGUGAUGGGCCUGAACUGGAAGUCAUAAAACACGGGUGUGAGUUCUGCCUCCUUCUCUAAUGAGCCGGAUGGCCUUGAGUAAGUCACUCACCUUCUCAAGGCCUCGGCUUCCUCCCCUGUCGCUGGGAGAAAUUGUGUCUGUCUGAAGUAUCUCACGGCCUGGGAAAAUCAAAGCGAAUCACGUUGACGCAGGUACUUGGUACGCCCUGAAUCACCGCCCCUGGUUACCCACAGGAGCGUCUAAGCAGGCCUGCAAGGCAGCCUGCAGCUUGGCCUCUACCCGUGUGAUGCAGCAAACACACUUGCAAGGCAUGUUCUACUCUUCAAAUGACGCCUCACAGAGGGACAGAGUUUGACUGCGGGACUCAGCCUGAGGCAGGGGACAGAAUCCCUGAGUGUGCUCCUGGCCAGUGGCUUCAUCUCUCAUCUCUCUGUGACUCUGUUUUCUUUAGCUGUCUAUGGAAAGAAUAAGCAUGAGAAGCAUUCAAUUUGAUUCAAACUGAAGCACUGCACCUGCUUUGUGUGAGACACUUUAGCCACCUCAGGGGUACACACACAAAAGCCCACUGUCCCUGCCCUCAAGGAGCCUAUCAUAUAAUGACAGUCACUAAAAUUUGAAGAUCUCUUUACAGUUCACCUUUACUUCUGAUAUGGUUUGGCUCUGUGUGCCCACUCAAAUCUCAUCUUGAAUUGUAAUCCCCACGUGUUGAGGGAGGGACCUGAUGGGAGGUGAUUGGAUUAUGGGGGCGGUUUCCCACAUGUUCUUGUGACAGUGAAGGAGUUCUCACAAGAUCUGAUGGUUUAAAGUGUUUUGCAAUUCCCCCCUCACACUCUCUUUCCUGCCUCCUUGUGAAGAAGGUGCUUGCUUUCCCUUCGCCUUCCGCCAUGAUUGUAAGUUUCCUGAGGGCCUCCCCAACCAGGCAGAGCUGUGACUCAAUUAAAACUGUCUUCUUUGUAAAUUACCCAGUCUCAGGUGUGUCUUUAUAGCAGCAUGAGAACAGACUAAUACACCUUCUCUCACUUUUUCUUCAAAAUGAUAGGCAGUGUUAUUGACGCUGUUUCACAAACGAGGACCUCCGAUGGAAGGAGCUAGGCUACCUGGGAGAAAUGAUAUUCUGCUGGCAUCCCACUACACUUUCUACCUGAGGCAUCGUCCCUAAAACACUAGGACAUCAGGAAAACCUAAUGAUGACUACUGUUUCAUUUAGGGCCCUCUCAGCUGCAAGUACAAAGACAUAGAAACCAAGUAUUGGGUUUUUAGCUGAGAAGCCCAGCAUCAGGCUGGACCACCAUCUGCGCAUCCUGUCUGGGGUUCAUACACAACAAAGACCUGAUUUCUCUCCUGUUCUCCGCUCAGCUUUCAUGGUCUCCUGGAGCUGAGAUCUUCUCAGCCCACAGGUGAUGACAGAAUGGAGAUAGUGGUUCCGGCUUCAAUGCUUCCAGGUUCAAGUCCACGGGGAAGAACCCUGCCUCCCUCUCAGAAGGCUCAGCUCCAGUCCCCUGGGUUCCAGUAGAAGCCCAAGCCCCUCCAGGAACCCCUUACUGUUACUGUGAAGGCGGAAUAUGGCUUUGGUUAAUUGAGGCCAACUCACAGUGCUAGAUCAAUCCCCCUAAACCACAAGGGCGGAGGGUGGGACCAGAUAGGUUAUUAAGGGAAAUUUGGGUACUCUUUUACCCAGAGGGUGAACAGAUGCUAAAUGGCCCAACUAUGCACAUGUGUAGCCAUCCACUGCAACAAUGCGUAGUAGUUGGUUAAUAAAUUUAUUUUCAUUUACCAAUUGAUUUAUCAGCAAAAUGAAUAAAAACUAAGUAGGCUACCUGUAAGAAAAGGUAAUAAAAUAUGUAAAAAUGAAUUAAACACUGUAAUCUGCCUCAAGUGGAUUCAGUGGCUUUGUCUGUGAUUCCCUGAACCUGCUCUCAUUGGAUAAUUUCACCUUAUUAGUAUAUACACCACAACCUCAGAAGGCAACUAUAAGAGCCAGAUGCCUGGACAGCCAUAUGGAAAAAAAU